rnacentral:tRNA from 1 species
CGGGGCGUAGCGCAGUCUGGUAGCGUACAUGCAUGGGGUGCAUGUGGUCGCAGGUUCAAAUCCUGCCGUCCCGACCA